rnacentral:misc_RNA from 1 species
GAAAGCAUGAAGGCGGGAUUCUUGUAGGCUAGAGCCCAGAUCUACGUGGCUGGUAAGGUCACACACUCCCUCUCUUACAAAUACCGAACUCCCAACCACAAUCACCCUUCAGCUUCAACUUCAACUCUUCCUCUUUCAACUCUCUCCCUCUCUGACCCAAACCACCUACAAUGGCCGAGUCCUCAGUCUCCCCGACUCCUCUGUUGAAAGAUGAGCUCGA